UAGGUCAAUGGAACCCCAUUCCUGCAUCCCGAACUAGUCCUUCUGUUUCUCAUUUGUUUUUUGCUGAUGACUUGAUUUUAUUUUCUGAGGCUACUGUUCGUCAAGCUGGUGUUAUGAAGCAGUGCAUGGACAUAUUCUGCAACUUAUCUGGUCAGACUGUGAAUUUUGACAAAUCCAUGGUUUAGUGCUCCCCUAAUGUAAAUGUCAAUUUGGCAAAACAGAUCAGUGAUGUGUGUGGCUCUCCCCUAACUAAAGAUUUGGAAAAGUACCUUGGAAUGCCUUUGAUUUAUUCCAGAGUAACAAAGAAUACUUAUGCCUCUAUCACUGAUAAGGUUCAGUAUCGUUUGGCUAGCUGGAAGAGUAAGAUUGUUUGACUGGGAGGUAGACUCUAAUUCAGGCUGUGUCAGCUGCAAUUACUCUCUAUGCAAUGCAGACAGCAAAACUACCAGUGCAUACUUGGAAUAAGUUGGAUAAGUUGAAUCGGGAUUUUCUUUGGGGAGACACUGAUCAGAAGAGGAAAAUUCAUCUCACUAAUUGGGACAUUGUUUGUAAAUCCAAGGUUAAUGGUGGUUGUGAACUAAGAAGGCUACUGAUAUGAAGAAAGCUAUGCUUGCGAAGGCACGCUGGAGGAUAACUCAGGGAGAUCAAGGUCUAUGGUGUAGAAUUUUUCAAGAAAAAUACCCAAAAUAUGACUCUUUAUUACAACAUAGCUAUCGGAAGCCAAAAAAUUAUUCUAGUACUUGGAUGGGAUUGUUUAUGAUGCUGAGCUUCUCAGGAAAGGUCUUUACUGGAGGAUUGGCUAUGGUAUUGAUGUAAAAUUCUGGUAUGAUAAAUGUUCCUCGGUUGGUGUGUAAAGCCAAAUUGUUUGUAUUCUUAGACAUUCUAACCAUAUGUCUACUGUUCAAGAUUUUUGGUGUAAUGGGGUCCUUGAUACACUCAUUUGGAGAGGUACUUCUUCUGGAGUUUUUACAGUUAAAUCGGCUUAUCAGCUUCUUUGUGAUGAACCAGACCAAUCAAGUAAUAAGUGGAAUCUGGUUUGGACCAUUCCUAUCCCUCCCAAAAUUAAAAUGUUCAUAUUGCUUGUGCUGCAAGGGAAAAUCCCUACCAAUGUUCAAAGAUUCAGACGAAACAUGGCUGCUGAUUCUUUUUGUCACUUGUGGCGAUAAGGAGGAUACUUUACUUCACUUGUUCAGGGAUUGCCCCACAGCUCGUAAGGUUUGACAAGCUUUUAAUAUUCCUUUAAACAUGAGGCUUACUUUCAAUUAGAUUGGAUGAGUUGGUUAUGUGCCAAUAUCUAUCAAAAGCAUACUUUUCUGAAUAUGCAGUGUGGAAUGUCUUCUUCAUCUUUUGUUGUUGGUUCAUUUGGAAGUGGAGGUGUAAUGGUAUUUUUUAUCAGAAUUUCUGUACUCCCUUCAAUAUAUAUAUAUGAUGUAAUUAUUGGUUAUGCUGAUGAGUGGUUUAGUGCAAAUAUCAAACCCCUUGUGCAGAAAGAUAUGCAGAUUGAAGCAGGGGGAUAAAUCAGCAAAGAGAUUGUUAACAACAUCAAUUUUUGGUUGGUAGGAAUCAUUCAGUCUAAUAUUGAAUGAGAUGCAAGAAAACAUAUCACUGGUGUUCUAUUCUAGUCGAUUUAUCUCUCAGGUUUGGCUAAGUUUCUCUCUAUAAUUUUUUUUUUAAUACAAAUUAUGAGUGAUAUCCCCUCUCCAAUUUAUCUUUUUUGUUUCUUAUAUAAAGACUUCCAAGUUCACAAGGCACCCAACUUAAACAAUUUCAAUAAUUAUUUUGACUGUUAUGUAACUUAAAUGUUCCUCAAAUUGGUUGGUUCUUUAUUCUCCAGCAAUGAACUGUGAACUUACCAUGGACAUUAUGGUUCAUAGGUUGGGUCAUUUGUCAUCAGAGCUUAACUCAAUGCAUUCUUUAAUUUUAAUUAUUUGAAUUGCUUAACCAUUUACCUAUCCAUCAUAAGCCUAUAUGUCAUUCUGGUUCAUGUAUGUCACAAAAUGAAAUCUUUUUUUUUUUGUUAAAUAAAUUGAAACUAAUUUGCUUUUGAGGUUGCUACAGUACUCUUACUGGUACAAACGUAACAAUGAGUGUGUUCUGACUCUAGAUAAUCUUGGUGAGCAGGUUGGAACUGUAAAUUUUUAGUCAUCCAUUGCCUGUCUUCACUUACACAUUUUGUUGCUGUUAGAUUUGGUCAGAGAUGCAGAAUGGUUUCUUGCCAAACUUCAUCCUUUUCAAUACCAUCCAGCGUUUUAACGAUCAGCAAAGUUUCCUCUUGUUCCUAUUCAAAAGUCAUCAGUUUCCAAUUUUCCAUGCCAAGCCUAGUUUCUAUUGCGGUACUCAAGGAAGCAAAAAUUCUUGAUCACUAAAUCUGUUAAAGUAAUAUGCAAUUCAUAUGGUUUGUGACCAGUAUCACGUUUUUCUUUAGUGUAUAUAUAAGAAUCCUCUAUAUCACCUUUUGUGAUUGCUGUAAAAAAAUUGCUAUUAAUAAGCUAGAUGAAAACAAGUUUUACUAACUUUAUUGUGUUACUGUUUUCAUGUAAGGAUUUAAAUGCAGUUCAUCAGAGUUUUGCAAGGUUGCACAAUGGAUUUUUUGGGAUGUCUCACAUGUUUUCCAUUGUAAAGCAUCUAGGGUCCAGAUCGUUGCCCUGGCUAAUCCAUGCACUAGAGAUCAUAUAUCAAACAAGACAGCUACCCUGGAAACCUUGAUUACAGGAUUGCAAGAAGCAUUACCAAAAUCUAUUGGACUGCUUCCUUUUGAUGAAGGCGUGACAGGUAUAUGUGCUUGCACAGGUUGUAUGAGGCUUGUUAAAGAAAAGCUUACCUGGAAACCAAAUCAGAGCUCAAAGGAGAAGUUCUUAGUGAUUGAUAUAAAGGAGAUUGGAAGUGUAUUAUAUUGGCUGGGGAUUCUUGAUAUCGUAUUGGUUAGUGAUCUAAGUUUUUCAUUUUACAACUUAAUUAAGGAUGCUUCCAUGUUGGUAUUUACUUAUGUUCUUAUAUUCACACAAAUUAUACUAGGGACUUCAAAAAUGUAAUGCAAACAGUACA